CUACGGGGGGCACCAGUGGGGAAUAUUGCACAAUGGGCGCAAGCCUGAUGCAGCCAUGCCGCGUGUACGAAGAAGGCCUUCGGGUUGUAAAGUACUUUCAGCGGGGAGGAAGGGAGUAAAGUUAAUACCUUUGCUCAUUGACGUUACCCGCAGAAGAAGCACCGGCUAACUCCGUGCCAGCAGCCGCGGUAAUACGGAGGGUGCAAGCGUUAAUCGGAAUUACUGGGCGUAAAGCGCACGCAGGCGGUUUGUUAAGUCAGAUGUGAAAUCCCCGGGCUCAACCUGGGAACUGCAUCUGAUACUGGCAAGCUUGAGUCUCGUAGAGGGGGGUAGAAGUCCAGGUGUAGCGGUGAUAUGCGUAGAGAUCUGGAGGAAUACCGGUGGCGAAGGCGGCCCCCUGGACGAAGACUGACGCUCAGGUGCGAAAGCGUGGGGAGCAAACAGGAUUAGAUACCCGGGUAGUC
rnacentral:rRNA from 1 species